UACGUAGGGUGCGAGCGUUAAUCGGAAUUACUGGGCGUAAAGCGUGCGCAGGCGGUUCGCCAAGUCAGGUGUGAAAUCCCCGGGCUUAACCUGGGAAUUGCGCUUGAAACUAGCGGGCUUGAGUGCGGCAGAGGGGGGUGGAAUUCCACGUGUAGCAGUGAAAUGCGCAGAGAUGUGGAGGAACACCGAUGGCGAAGGCAGCCCCCUGGGUCGACACUGACGCUCAUGCACGAAAGCGUGGGGAGCAAACAGG
rnacentral:rRNA from 1 species